rnacentral:lncRNA from 1 species
UGGAAGCAACCCAAGUGCACAUCGAUGGAUGAAUGGAUAAACCACAGCUAGUCUGUCCACACAGUGAAUUUUACUCGUCCUAAAAAAGGAAGGAAAUCCCGGCAUAUCCUACAACAUGGAGAAAUCUUGAGAACUUAUGAUUUCCUUGUGCUAAGUGACAUAAACCAGUCUCAAAAAGACAAAUUCUGUAUGAUUCUGUAUGCUUCUAUGAGAUGCUUAGCGUAGUCAGAUUCAUAGAUACAUAAAGUAGAAUGGUUGGUGCAGGUUGCAGUUGUGUCACGGGUUCAGGCCUGACCUGGGAACUUCCACAUGCUGUGCGUGCAGCCAAAAGAAAAGGAAAAAAAAGGAGUAGAAUGGUGGCUGUCAGAGGCUUGAGGACAGAAAUGGGGAGUUGUUUCACGGGUACAGAGUUUCAGUUUUGCAAGAUUAAAAGACUUUAUGGAUGGAUGGGGGUGAUGGUUGCACAACAGUGUGACUGGACUUAAUGCCACUAGGCUGUGCCAUUAAAAAUGGUUAUGAGUUCCUGCUGUGGCGCAAUGGGAUCAGCCGUGCCUCUGCAGCGCCAGGACGCAGGUUCAACCCCCAUCCCGGCACAGUGGGUGAAAGGAUCCAGUGUUGCUGAAGCUGUAGCAUAAGUCGCAACUGCAGCUUGGAUCUGAUCCCUGGCCCAGGAACUCCCUCUGUUGCAGAACGGCCAAAAAUGAAAAACAAACAAACAGUCGUAAGUAAGACGGUAAGUUUUACGUUCUGUGUGUUUCACCCCCCGCCCCACAACUGUCCCACACAAAGAGGCGGCGUCGAUUUAAAAGAAGCAUCUCUGAGCGGAGGCCUUAGGAGAUGGAUCCGCAGAUAAAGGCCAGUCAGGUCUGAGCCAGGCCAAGCCAGAUGUCUGGCUACACGUUGUGUGACAGUGAGAGGGGAGCGGAUGAAAAGAAGAAAUUCCAAAUGGGUAAUCUAUGGGGAGAAAUAACCAUGUCCUAAAAAUGACACAAUAAGCAUCACGGUCACACCGAGUAUAUAUAAAUAAAUGUGCUCUUUGGCAGGAAACAUGGUAUUUGGAACCGUCCCAGAGUCGUUCUUUUUACUGCAGAUGGAAAGAGGCAGGCAGAGUCUUACCCCGUGUCAGAAGCGUCCCACGGAGCCAAGCUCCUUACCCGCCACCCAAGCGAGCACUUUCUAUCUGAGUCAGGUGAUCCGGAUGCUAUUCAUCUGGAGACCACGCUGGCCAUGAGCCCACACCGGUGGGCCUCCAGCCGCAAAGAGAAGAAGGCAGGCGGGGUGUCGAUCUGAGAAGAAAACCCACCAGGAGAAGGGAGUUAAAACUGUUCCUAGACCGCACAGCGUGGUCACAGCCUAGCAGACCUCGGGGUCCUCGCCUCUGAAGGGAAAGAGGCCUGUAAGCUUCCGUCCAGCGCCUUCCAUGAUCCCGCGGACGCCAGGCUGCAGGAUCUAAUGCCACGUGCUUUGGUGACCACGAGAACUCGUUACAGAUCCUGCCUCAGGUUUAUUUACACAAAUAGCCCAGGAGGAGAGCAGUGCCCUCAGCAGCCCAGGGGUCACACCAGUCCUUCCACCUCCACAUUAGCACAAAGAAGCCUCUGCUCUGGCCUUCGGAGCAGCUUAGGCACCUUUGGGAGCUGGAGCAGGGGCUGGAGCAGAUGCUGGAUCUGGAGCAGGAACGGGAGUAGGAGGCUGAGCUGGCGCUGGAGCUGAAGAAGGAACAGGAGCCGCAGGUGGAGCUGGGGCAGGAGGCGGAGCAGGAGCAGGAACAGGGGCUGGGGCUGGGGCAGGAGCUGGAUCUGGGGAAGGAGCAGGAACAGGACCUGGAGCUGGAGCUGGAGAUAGACCUGGAGCUGGGGCAGGAGCUAAAGGUAAGGCUACAGCUUGAUCUUGGUCUGAGCCCUGGUCUUGCACUUGGCCGGCAGAGCCUUCGCCCCACGGAGAUGCAGGCACGAGCUGGCUUCCCAAGCUUGGGGUGGAUGAGGUCGGUAAGUCCAUUAAGCUCGUGGUCGAUGUGCUCUGGGGCUGGGGCUCGGCCUCCGUGGGCUUUAUGGGGCCUGAGAACCUCGGCCCCCACGCGGGCCCUUAGCUCAGGGCUCUGCACCUUCUGCACACCUGUCUUGUUGUGCUUCUCAGAAAAGCGUGUGUUCCUCGGGAACUCAGGGCCACCCCUUCACAGGUUCACAUCUUUGCGUUCGGGGCUUUUUGAUAGCGUUUCUGGGCCAUUUUCCGGAGGUGCGGGCCGUGCUUCUUGGACUUGGCCGUGUCUUUAUGGACAUUCAAGGCUCCCAAAGUGCCUGGGACCAAAGAGAAAGAAGCUGGCCACCAGGAGGUCCUCAAUUUUAAAGCAAAUUUUGUUCCCGCAACUUAUGAGUCAGUGUAACCAGCUGUACCCAGUGCUCAUCAGAUUCGCCUCAAUGAUCCACUGUUUACAACUCGCCGAAGGUGCUAAGAACAGUGGGGAUUGUGCCAGGGUGUUUUUCCCCCAAGAAAGGACUUUACCAAAUUCUCUCCAUCCCCCAAACUCUUUCCUCGGACCCAGUUUCCUUUCAUGCAUCCUUCCACUCCGUCCUUCGCUCAGCCAGUGUUUAUUGAACGCCUGAUGCAGAUUCCACCCUUGGCCCUGCCCCCGCUGUUGUAGACAAUCUAACACGGUUCCUGAACUCACUUUGCUCACAGCCUGGAGAGGAGAUGGACUUCAUUAGAGUAAUGACACCAGAGCGUGUGGAGGUGCUUUAGAAAGACGGAGCGUUUUACAAGGAUCCUGUGGAGCCCGUUCUCUCCCGCUGAGCCUGUUUUGUUUUUGUUUUUUGUUUUUUUUUUAAUACUGUGGGCAAAAGGAGAUAUACCUCGCAGGGUGGUUUUUUAAAAAAUAUAUAUAUAACAGGAGUUCCCGCUGUGGCUCAGUGGUUAACAAAUCCAACUAGGAACCAUGAGGUUGCGGGUUCGGUCCCUGCCCUUGCUCAGUGGGUUAAGGAUCCGGCGUUGCCGUGAGCUGUGGUGUAGGUUGCAGACACGGCUCGGAUCCCACGUUGCUGUGGCUGUAAUAUAGGCUGGUGGCUACAGCUCCAAUUGGACCCAUAGCCUGGGAACCUCCAUAUGCCAUGGGUGUGGCCCUAGAAAAAGACAAAAUGACCAAAAAA